rnacentral:rRNA from 1 species
GACGAACGCUGGCGGCGUGCCUAAUACAUGCAAGUCGAACGCAGUGGGGACGGGUGAGUAACCCGUGGGUCACCUCCCAUCAGAGGGGAUAACACUUGGAAACAGGUGCUAAACCGAUACUGAUGGAUGGACCCGCGGUGCAUUAGCUAGUUGUUGAGGUAACGGCUCACCAAGGCCACGAUGCAUAGCCGACCUGCGAGGGUGAUCGGCGACAGGGGGACUGAGGCACGGCCCAGACUCCUACGUGAGGCAGCAGUAGGGAAUCGUCGGCAAUGGACGAAAGGCUGACCGAUCAACGCGGCGUGAGUGAAGAAGGUUGUCGGAUCGUAAAACGCUGUUGUUAGAGAAGCGGUAGCUAACCAGAAAGCCACGGCUAACUACGUGCCAGCAGCCGCGGUAAUUC